rnacentral:rRNA from 1 species
AUUGAACGCUGGCGGCAGGCCUAACACAUGCAAGUCGAACGAGUGGCGGACGGGGGAGUAAUGUCUGGGAAACCUCCUGAUGGCGGGGGAUAACUACUGGAAACGGUAGCUAAUACAGCAUACCAUCAGAUGUGCCCAGAUGGGAUUAGAUCGUUUGUGGGGUAACGGCGCACCAAGGCGACGAUCCCUAGCUGGUCUGAGAGGAUGACCAGCCAAACUGGAACUGAGACACGGUCCAGACUCCUACGGGAGGCAGCAGUGGGGAAUAGUGCACAAUGGGCGCAAGCCUGAUGCAGCCAUGCCGCGUGUAUGAAGAAGGCCUUCGGGUUGUAAAGUACUUUCAGCGGGGAGGCGUUACCCGCAGAAGAAGCACCGGCUAACUCCGUGCCAGCAGCCGCGGUAAUAC